GAGAUUCUGGCUGUGUUAGAGUUCUUGGCAGUCAAGUUUCCUCUGAGACCCUGAGAUCCUGGUGUGACCAAGCUCCUGGGAUCCUGGUAUCCUGGAAUCCUGGAAUCCUAAGAUCCUCAGAGUGUUACAGUACCUGGAAGUGGCACCUCCUCUGGAGACUGUGGGGCUGUCCGCUGUGUUCGAAACCAAGGUAGACCAGCACCAACCAGAAGGAACUGGUGGUUGCUGGUCAGGCAGGGCUCCUGUGUCCUUAGUCCUGCUGUCACAGGCCCCUCACAAUUGUUUUGGGACAGAUGCUGUGUUCCACUCACCAGUGAUCCUAAGAUCUUGGGCAUGCUAGGGCAACUGCAGCGUGGAGACCAUUGGACAAUCGUGCCCAAGGUGGCCCAGAACAGGCACCCACCAGAAGGAACCGGAGCCGCUCGUCAGGGAGGUUUCCUGUGUCCCUGCUCCUGCUGGCAUAGGCCCCUCAUGAUUGUUUUAGAACAGAUGUUGCGUUUGGCUCACCAGUGAUAUUAAGAUCCUGGGCGUGCUAGGGCAACUGCGGUGUGUAGAGUCCUCUGGGGACCAUGGGACCAUCUGUCAAGUUUGCGCCCAAGUUGGCCCGGGGCUGGCUCCAACCGGAAGGACCCAACUUGAUAUUUUUAACCCAAGUUAAACACCCAGGAUCUCAAACUGUGCUUGUCACCACCAGAAACUGUAUGUCAAGAUGCCACAAACAUCUGACUGGGACCCCAGUACCAUCUUGUACUUUGACCUCAUCAAGGGACCAUGCACUGAGGCCUUGCUUUCUUACCAUUGUCCUCAUGGUUUACUUUCAUUAGAGGAUUUCAAAGUUCUAAGGCCAUGGGAGACAGGACCAUGAGAGCUGUUGUGAAUCGAGUUUCAGCACACAGGACUGGGAGACUUGGAUAGUGUGUGGGAUCCAUCUGUCUUUGAGACCUAGAUGAAGCCAGUACUCCAGAUAGUGGGAUAGGUGGGUGGCACACUAAACUGUGGGACUGUGGGGUUACAAGGCUGGAAAACCAGGACACAAGGAAACUUUCUGUUUUCCAAUCUGAACAGUGAAGUCAGAGAGCAUGCUGGACUGUUAGACUAAGACAGGGAGGCUGGCUGAUUCAUUUCCCAUUUCCCAUCCACUUUCUAGUCGUCUAAGCAAAAUUUCUGUGCAAGAGAAUCAUGCAUGGAGAUCCUCUUCAUUCAUCGGAUUAUCUAACUUUAAACUUAAUGGGGUGAGGGUGUAGCUCAGGUGAUAGACAUGCAUGUCUAACAUGCAAAGAGGCACUAGGCCUAGCUCAGUGUGUUGAUGAUUUUGGGUACAUUGUACUCUUAUGACUUUUUGAUCUAGGAAUUUUAUUUUCAGGUUUUGUUUUAUUUACUUAAGUCUUUGAUCUAUUUUUUAGUUAAUUUUUAAUAAAGUGGAAAGUGGGGUCC
rnacentral:lncRNA from 1 species